rnacentral:rRNA from 1 species
AGAGUUUGAUCAUGGCUCAGGAUGAACGCUGGCGGCGUGCCUAAUACAUGCAAGUCGAGCGAACGGACGAGAAGCUUGCUUCUCUGAUGUUAGCGGCGGACGGGUGAGUAACACGUGGAUAACCUACCUAUAAGACUGGGAUAACUUCGGGAAACCGGAGCUAAUACCAGAUAAUAUUUUGAACCGCAUGGUUCAAAAGUGAAAGACGGUCUUGCUGUCACUUAUAGAUGGAUCCGCGCUGCAUUAGCUAGUUGGUAAGGUAACGGCUUACCAAGGCAACGAUGCAUAGCCGACCUGAGAGGGUGAUCGGCCACACUGGAACUGAGACACGGUCCAGACUCCUACGGGAGGCAGCAGUAGGGAAUCUUCCGCAAUGGGCGAAAGCCUGACGGAGCAACGCCGCGUGAGUGAUGAAAGUCUUCGGAUCGUAAAACUCUGUUAUUAGGGAAGAACAUAUGUGUAAGUAACUGUGCACAUCUUGACGGUACCUAAUCAGAAAGCCACGGCUAACUACGUGCCAGCAGCCGCGGUAAUACGUAGGUGGCAAGCGUUAUCCGGAAUUAUUGGGCGUAAAGCGCGCGUAGGCGGUUUUUUAAGUCUGAUGUGAAAGCCCACGGCUCAACCGUGGAGGGUCAUUGGAAACUGGAAAACUUGAGUGCAGAAGAGGAAAGUGGAAUUCCAUGUGUAGCGGUGAAAUGCGCAGAGAUAUGGAGGAACACCAGUGGCGAAGGCGACUUUCUGGUCUGUAACUGACGCUGAUGUGCGAAAGCGUGGGG